rnacentral:rRNA from 1 species
AAACUCGGUCCUGCCGUUCAAAUACUGCCAAUCUUGAACGGGAGCGCUGGCCGACUCCUGGUUGUUAGGGAGUUGACGACACCUUGAGUCUGCAGGAACACUCCUGGGGCAUGUAGACCCCGAGGAACGAUCUGCAGCCGUCUUGAUCCUUGGAUCUUGUCGGCCCACAGACUAGAUAGAGGUGGGUACCGUCUUGACAAGAUGGUAGUUUAGAUAUAGUCGCCUACCCAGAGGCAUAUAAUCUGGGACACAUCGGUUCCGUAGGUGAACCUGCGGAAGGAUCAUUA